rnacentral:rRNA from 1 species
ACUCAAAGGAAUAGACGGGGGCCCGCACAAGCGGCGGAGCAUGUUGCUUAAUUCGAGGCGACGCGAAGAACCUUACCUGGGUUUGACAUGUUGGGAAAAGCCGUGGAGACACGGUGUCCUUCGGGGUCCAGCACAGGUGGUGCAUGGCUGUCGUCAGCUCGUGUCGUGAGAUGUUGGGUUAAGUCCCGCAACGAGCGCAACCCUUGUCCUAUGUUGCCAGCACGUAAUGGUGGGGACUCGUAGGAGACUGCCGGGGUCAACUCGGAGGAAGGUGGGGACGACGUCAAGUCAUCAUGCCCCUUAUAUCCAGGGCUGCAAACAUGCUACAAUGGCCAGUACAGAGGGCUGCAAUCCCGCGAGGGUGAGCGAAUCCCAAAAAGCUGGUCUCAGUUCGGAUCGCAGUCUGCAACUCGACUGCGUGAAGCCGGAGUCGCUAGUAAUCCCGGAUCAGCUACGCCGGGGUGAAUACGUUCCCGGGCCUUGUACACACCGCCCGU